UACGUAGGGCGCAAGCGUUGUCCGGAAUUAUUGGGCGUAAAGAGCUCGUAGGCGGCUUGUCACGUCGAUUGUGAAAGCCCGAGGCUUAACCUCGGGUCUGCAGUCGAUACGGGCUAGCUAGAGUGUGGUAGGGGAGAUCGGAAUUCCUGGUGUAGCGGUGAAAUGCGCAGAUAUCGGGAGGAACACCAGUGGCGAAGGCGGCGAUCUGGGAAGAUACUGACGCUGAGGUGCGAAAGCGUGGGGAGCAAACAGG
rnacentral:rRNA from 1 species